CAGCCAGCCAGUAAGUCUGCUUACCUGAAUGUGUUUCUGCAGAAAUUUAGACAAAGCUGGCAAUAAUAAAGUCAUAUUACGAGCCUUAAAGACCUGAAGUAAUUAAGGUCUCUGAAAAUGGCAAUAAGG
rnacentral:snoRNA from 1 species